UACGAAGGGGGCGAGCGUUGUUCGGAAUUACUGGGCGUAAAGGGCGCGUAGGCGGCCGAUCAAGUCAGAUGUGAAAGUCCUGGGCUUAACCUAGGGACUGCAUUUGAUACUGAUUGGCUUGAAUGCAGGAGAGGAUAGCGGAAUUCCCAGUGUAGAGGUGAAAUUCGUAGAUAUUGGGAAGAACACCGGUGGCGAAGGCGGCUAUCUGGACUGUGAUUGACGCUGAGGCGCGAAAGCGUGGGGAGCAAACAGG
rnacentral:rRNA from 1 species